rnacentral:rRNA from 1 species
AUUGAACGCUGGCGGCAGGCCUAACACAUGCAAGUCGAGCGAGCGGCGGACGGGUGAGUAAUGUAUGGGGACUGCCCGAUAGAGGGGGAUAACUACUGGAAAAGGUGGCUAAUACCGCAUACUACUGGAUAUCUCAUAUGGGAUUAGCUAGUGGGUAAGGUAAUGGCUUACACAGGCGACGAUCCCUAGCUGGUCUGAGAGGAUGAUCGGCCACACUGGAACUGAGACACGGCCCAGACUCCUACGGAGGCAGCAGUGGGGAAUAUUUCACAAUGGGCGCAAGCCUGAUGCAGCCAUGCCGCGUGUAUGAAGAAGGCCCUAGGUUUGUAAAAUACUUUCAGUCGGGAGGCGUUACCUACAGAAGAAGCACCGGCUAACUCCGUGCCAGCCGCCGCGGUAAUAC